AAUUAAGAGCGCAUGGGGAAUGCCUAGGCUCUCAGAGGCGAUGAAGGACGUGAUAAGCUGCGAUAAGCUGCGGGGAUUGGCACAUACGAAUUGAUCCGCAGAUGUCCGAAUGGGGCAACCCAGUACAUUGAAGAUGUAUUAUCCGCAAGGAGGCGAACCCGGGGAACUGAAACAUCUAAGUACCCCGAGGAAAAGAAAUCAACCGAGAUUCCCUAAGUAGCGGCGAGCGAACGGGGACUAGCCCU
rnacentral:rRNA from 14 species